GCAUAUCCAAAAAGCGGAGGAAAAGAAACUAACAAGGAUUCCCCUAGUAACUGCGAGUGAAGCGGGAAAAGCUCAAAUUUAAAAUCUGGUGGUCUUUGGCCAUCCGAGUUGUAAUCUAGAGAAGUGUUAUCCGCGCUGGACCGUGUACAAGUCCCCUGGAAUGGGGCGUCAUAGAGGGUGAGAAUCCCGUCUUUGACACGGACUACCAGGGCUUUGUGAUGCACUCUCAAAGAGUCGAGUUGUUUGGGAAUGCAGCUCAAAAUGGGUGGUAAAUUCCAUCUAAAGCUAAAUAUUGGCGAGAGACCGAUAGCGAACAAGUACCGUGAGGGAAAGAUGAAAAGAACUUUGGAAAGAGAGUUAAACAGUACGUGAAAUUGUUGAAAGGGAAACGCUUGAAGUCAGUCGCGUCUGCCAGGGAUCAACCUUACUUUUGUGAGGCGUACUUCCUGGUUGAUGGGUCAGCAUCAGUUUUGGUCGCUGGAUAAAGGUCAGAGAAAUGUGGCACCUUCGGGUGUGUUAUAGUCUUUGAUCAGAUACAGUGGCUGGGACUGAGGAACUCAGCGCCGCAAGGCUGUCUUAGGAUGCU
rnacentral:rRNA from 1 species